rnacentral:rRNA from 1 species
GACGAACGCUGGCGGCGUGCCUAAUACAUGCAAGUAGAACGCUGAAGAGAGGAGCUUACUCUUCUUGGAUGAGUUGCGAACGGGUGAGUAACGCGUAGGUAACCUGCCUUGUAGCGGGGGAUAACUAUUGGAAACGAUAGCUAAUACCGCAUAACAAUGGAUGACACAUGUCAUUUAUUUGAAAGGGGCAAUUGCUCCACUACAAGAUGGACCUGCGUUGUAUUAGCUAGUAGGUGAGGUAAUGGCUCACCUAGGCGACGAUACAUAGCCGACCUGAGAGGGUGAUCGGCCACACUGGGACUGAGACACGGCCCAGACUCCUACGGGAGGCAGCAGUAGGGAAUCUUCGGCAAUGGGGGCAACCCUGACCGAGCAACGCCGCGUGGGUGAAGAAGGUUUUCGGAUCGUAAAGCUCUGUUGUAAGUCAAGAACGGGUGUGAGAGUGGAAAGUUCACACUGUGACGGUAGCUGACCAGAAAGGGACGGCUAACUACGUG